ACGAACGCUGGCGGCGUGCUUAACACAUGCAAGUCGAACGGAAAGGCCCUGCUUUUGUGGGGUGCUCGAGUGGCGAACGGGUGAGUAACACGUGAGUAACCUGCCCUUGACUUUGGGAUAACUUCAGGAAACUGGGGCUAAUACCGGAUAGGAGCUCCUGCUGCAUGGUGGGGGUUGGAAAGUUUCGGCGGUUGGGGAUGGACUCGCGGCUUAUCAGCUUGUUGGUGGGGUAGUGGCUUACCAAGGCUUUGACGGGUAGCCGGCCUGAGAGGGUGACCGGCCACAUUGGGACUGAGAUACGGCCCAGACUCCUACGGGAGGCAGCAGUGGGGAAUAUUGCACAAUGGGCGGAAGCCUGAUGCAGCAACGCCGCGUGCGGGAUGACGGCCUUCGGGUUGUAAACCGCUUUCGCCUGUGACGAAGCGUGAGGGACGGUAAUGGGUAAAGAAGCACCGGCUAACUACGUG
rnacentral:rRNA from 1 species